AUCGCCUUCUUUGCCUGUAUCUACCCUUAGUUUAGCNAUAUACUAUUAUUCCUCGGCAGGGUCUGCUGCNGAGGUGAAACCUAUAUACCUAUUUAUUUCAUCAGCGUCUGAAAGAAAUAAUUACAACUUUCAACAACNGAUCUCUNGGUUCUNGGCAUCGAUGNAANAACGCAGCGAAAUGCGAUAAGUAGUGUAGAAUAGCAGAAUUCAGUGAAUCAUCGAAUCUNUGAACGCACAUUGCGCCCCCUAGUAUUCCAUNGAGGCAUGCCUGUUCGAGCGUCAUUUAGUACCUCAAGCUUUGCUGGUGUUGGGUGUUNGUCCNGCGGGACUCNCCUAAAGUCAUUGGCAGCCAGUGUUUGGUUUUGAAGCUCAGCACAAGUCGCGANUC
rnacentral:misc_RNA from 1 species